AAAAUGCGAUAAGUAAUGUGAAUUGCAGAAUUCUGUGAAUCAUCAAAUCUUUGAACGCACAUUGCGCCCUCUGGUAUUCCGGGGGGCAUGCCUGUCCGAGCGUCAUUGACACGAAUCAAGCGCGGCUUGUGUGUUGGGCCUUCGUCCCCUCGAAAGGACGUGCCCGAAACGCAGUGGCGGCGUCGCGGUUAUCCGACCAGCCAGAGUGUAUGGGGCUUUGUCACGCACUCCAGACACAGGACCGGCGCCUGUCGACCCCUUCUCGAAGAGAUAUCUAGGUUGACCUUGGAUCAGGUAGGGAUACCCGCUGAACUUAA
rnacentral:misc_RNA from 1 species